rnacentral:rRNA from 1 species
GCUACACAUGCAAGUCGAACGGGAUUCACCUUCGGGUGAUGAGAGUGGCGCACGGGUGAGUAACGCGUAUGCAACCUUCCCCAAUCAGGGGGAUAGCCCGGAGAAAUCCGGAUUAAUACCCCAUAUUAUUAUAGUUUCGCAUGGGACUUUAAUGAAAGCUUUGGCGGUUUGGGAUGGGCAUGCGUGGCAUUAGCUUGUUGGUGAGGUAACGGCUCACCAAGGCGACGAUGCCUAGGGGUUCUGAGAGGAUGAUCCCCCACACUGGUACUGAGACACGGACCAGACUCCUACGGGAGGCAGCAGUGAGGAAUAUUGGUCAAUGGGCGCAAGCCUGAACCAGCCAUCCCGCGUGAAGGAAGACUGCCCUAUGGGUUGUAAACUUCUUUUGUACAUGAAGAACGGGCCUUACGUGUAAGGUUAUGACGGUAAUGUACGAAUAAGCAUCGGCUAACUCCGUGCCAGCAGCCGCGGUAAUACGGAGGAUGCGAGCGUUAUCCGGAUUCAUUGGGUUUAAAGGGUACGUAGGUGGCCCUGUAAGUCAGUGGUGAAAACCUGCCGCUUAACGGUAGGCGUGCCAUUGAUACUGCGGGGCUUGAGUACAGAUGAGGUAGGCGGAAUGUGUAGUGUAGCGGUGAAAUGCAUAGAUAUUACACAGAACUCCGAUUGCGAAGGCAGCUUACUAAACUGCAACUGACGCUGAUGUACGAAAGCGUGGGUAGCGAACAGGAUUAGAUACCCUGGUAGUCCACGCCGUAAACGAUGCUCACUGGCUGUAUGCGAUACACAGUAUGUGGCCAAGCGAAAGCGCUAAGUGAGCCACCUGGGGAGUACGCCGGCAACGGUGAAACUCAAAGGAAUUGACGGGGGCCCGCACAAGCGGAGGAACAUGUGGUUUAAUUCGAUGAUACGCGAGGAACCUUACCUGGGCUUAAAUGGGGAGUGACGGACGCUGAAAGUGUCUUUCUUCGGACACUCUUCAAGUGCUGCAUGGUUGUCGUCAGCUCGUGCCGUGAGUGUCGGGUUAAGUCCCAUAACG